rnacentral:hammerhead_ribozyme from 1 species
AGGUAGCUGACGGGUCCCAAACAGGACGAAAUGCGCAUCCUGGAU